rnacentral:rRNA from 1 species
UACGGGGGGGGCAAGCGUUGUUCGGAAUUACUGGGCGUAAAGGGCUCGUAGGCGGUCAACUAAGUCAGACGUGAAAUCCCUCGGCUUAACCGGGGAACUGCGUCUGAUACUGGAUGGCUAGAGGUUGGGAGAGGGAUGCGGAAUUCCAGGUGUAGCGGUGAAAUGCGUAGAUAUCUGGAGGAACACCGGUGGCGAAGGCGGCAUCCUGGACCAAUUCUGACGCUGAGGAGCGAAAGCCAGGGGAGCAAACGGG